GUGGGAAUGACGGUGGCGCGGAGGACAUCUGUGGUUUACUGAAGAAAGUUAACUUGGCGGUGGAUGAAUUUGAGUGGGAGUCUUAGAGAGGAACACAGAACCCCCUGAGGACCCAAACACAACAUCCUCCAAAUCUGUGUAACCACUAACUCCACAUUUCUUUGAAUAGAAGUACAGUAAGAUCAGGAUGUUACCUGGGACCUCUGUCUGUCCUGCACUGGUGCUGUUUUUCCUGAAGCGACCAGCCUGGACCUUCAUGUUGGGACAAAGGACAUCUGCAAAGAGAAAGACAGGAAUAACAGAGUCUCCUCCUCAACCUCCCCCUGAUCUUAUCAAUGGCAUCGAAGUCCGUCACGUGGAACACAUGAGCGUUUUUGGGCUCUGCUCCGAUCUCCUCCAGUUCCUCUCUGAGAGCUUCUCCGAUCCCCACCGCGAACAUUCUGAUUCCAGCAGCUGCGGCGGCUAAAGACGGCUCCAGAACGUAAUCUUGACUCUUGCCAUCCGUUAGUAAGAUGGCCACUUUCUGAAAACCUUUGGCUGCGGGCCGUGCUCCCGCUCUUUCCGUGAAGAUGUUGUUGGUGGUGAAGCUGAUGGCGUCUCCUGUCUUGGUGUUCCCACCCAAGUAGCGGAUGUUUCCAGCGGCGCGCUUGACCUCCUCGAGGUUUUUGUACCUGCCCAGGUUGAAUUCGGCGGUGGGCCGGUCGCUGUAGCGAACAACGGCCACACGUGUUUUAUCCACACCUACUUCAAACGAUUCCACCAGUUUUGCCACCCACUGACGGAUCUUCUCAAAGUUUUCCUUUCCCACACUAGAGGAUGUAUCCAAAAUGAAGACCAGAUCAUAGUGGACGUUUUUGCACCCUGGGUACAAAAGACAUACAAUUUUACACACCGUGUGUAUACAGGACGGCCAUCGUGUUUAGGAAUAAAAAUGUGCUAAGCCACAGAUUUAUAAAGUUUGUGUUUUGUCAUCCUACCAUGGCUCAAAACUAGUGGUUUGUCAUGUGCACCGCGUUAGUCUAAACACAUUACAACAAAGGAUUUGUCAAAAGCCUGAAUUAGACCUUCAUGGUUAACCUUGGUUUAUAUUAAACUCUUUUUCUACUUGUUCACACUUCACAGCUUUGUAGACUAUGCUCAUGUUGGUUUAGACAAAAUGUUAAAUGCUUUUUAUUUGUAAA